rnacentral:rRNA from 1 species
AUUGAACGCUGGCGGCAGGCCUAACACAUGCAAGUCGAGCGAGCGGCGGACGGGUGAGUAAUGUAUGGGAAACUGCCUGAUGGAGGGGGAUAACUACUGGAAACGGUAGCUAAUACAGCAUACAAUCAGAUGUGCCCAGAUGGGAUUAGAUAGUAGGUGGGGGAACGGCUAACCUAGGCGAAGAUCCCUAGCUGGUCUCAGAGGAUGACCAGCCACACUGGAACUGAUACACGGCCCAGACUCCGACGUGAGGCAGCAGUGGGGAAUAUUGCACAAUGGGCGCAAGCCUGAUGCAGCCAUGCCGCGUGUAUGAAGAAGGCCUUAGGGUUGUAAAGCACUUUCAGCGGGGAGGCGUUACCCGCAGAAGAAGCACCGGCUAACUCCGUGCCAGCAGCCGCGGUAAUAC